AGAGGACAAUCUCAUGUACGCCCAAGUCAACUACCGCAAUAAAGCUAAAGUCAAGAAGAAGAAAGGGAAAUCAACUCCUUCAGCAACUGAUGAAACAGUUUAUUCUGAAGUUACAUAAACCACCAACAGCUCUUGGUCUGUAAGGAGAGGUGUAUCGACAGUUAACAGUUAACAGCUUCUUUUAUAAAAAUUAUUGUGGGCAGCCCUGCUAUCCAAAAUAUCAGAUA